rnacentral:rRNA from 1 species
AUUGAACGCUGGCGGCAGGCCUAACACAUGCAAGUCGAGCGGAUGAAGGGAGCUUGCUCCUGGAUUCAGCGGCGGACGGGUGAGUAAUGCCUAGGAAUCUGCCUGGUAGUGGGGGAUAACGUCCGGAAACGGGCGCUAAUACCGCAUACGUCCUGAGGGAGAAAGUGGGGGAUCUUCGGACCUCACGGUAUCAGAUGGGCCUACGUCUGAUUAGCUAGUUGGUGGGGUAAUGGCCUACCAAGGCGUCGAUCGGUAACUGGCCUGAGAGGGGGAUCGGUCACAAGAGGACUGAGAGACGGCGCAGACUCGUACGGGAGGCAGCAGUGGGGAAUAUGGCACAGUGGGCGGAAGCCUGAUGCGGAAACGCCGCGUGCGGGAUGACGGCCUACGGGUUGGAAACCGCUGUCGGUUGUGACGAAGCGGGAGUGACGGUAAUGGGAGAAGAAGCACCGGCUAACUACGUG